rnacentral:rRNA from 1 species
AACGCGAAGAACCUUACCCAGGCUUGACAUGCAGAGGACGACAUAAGAGAUUAUGUUUCCCUUCGGGGCCUCUGCACAGGUGCUGCAUGGCUGUCGUCAGCUCGUGCCGUGAGGUGUUGGGUUAAGUCCCGCAACGAGCGCAACCCUUGUCACUAUUUGCCAACACGUAAUGGUGGGAACUCUAGUGAGACUGCCUAGGUUAACUAGGAGGAAGGUGAGGAUGACGUCAAGUCAGCAUGGCCCUUAUGUCUGGGGCUACACACGUACUACAAUGGCCGGUACAGAAGGCAGCGAAACCGUAAGGCGAAGCAAAUCCCCAAAGCCGGCCCCAGUUCAGAUUGUAGUCUGCAACUCGACUACAUGAAGUUGGAAUUGCUAGUAAUGGCGUGUCAGCAACAACGCCGUGAAUACGUUCCCGGGCCUUGUACACACCGGCUAC